rnacentral:rRNA from 1 species
UACAGAGGUCCCAAGCGUUGUUCGGAUCCACUGGGCGUAAAGGGUGCGUAGGCGGUCGGGUAAGUCUGAUGUGAAAUCUCACAGCUUAACUGUGAAACUGCAUUGGAUACUAUUCGGCUUGAGAGUUGGAGGGGGGACUGGAAUUCUUGGUGUAGCAGUGAAAUGCGUAGAUAUCAGGAGGAACACCGGUGGCGAAGGCGGGUCUCUGGGCCGUAACUGACGCUGAGGAGCGAAAGCAUGGGGAGCGAACAGG